UCCGUUGCAGCUUUUGGGUCCUUGCAUCCUGGACUGUGUGGCCCGUCAACGAAUGCGGGGAAUCAUCAUGUGACAGUCAUCGCAUUUUCAACGCAACGUCCU